CCCUUAGACGUUCUGGGCCGCACGCGCGCUACACUGACGAAGGCAACGAGCUUUCCUUUACCGAAAGGUACGGGUAAUCUUUUGAAACUUCGUCGUGCUGAGGAUAGAUCCUUGCAAUUUUUGAUCUUAAACGAGGAAUGCCUAGUAAGCGCAAGUCAUCAACUUGCGUUGAUUACGUCCCUGCCCUUUGUACACACCGCCCGUCGCUACUACCGAUUGAAUGGUUUAGUGAGGCCUUCGGAUCCGCGACUCGUUUGUGGAGAAGUUGGACAAACUCAGUCAUUUAGAGGAAGUAAAAGUCGUAACA
rnacentral:rRNA from 1 species